rnacentral:rRNA from 1 species
GACGAACGCUGGCGGCGUGCUUAACACAUGCAAGUCGAACGGAAAGGCCCUGCUUUUGUGGGGUGCUCGAGUGGCGAACGGGUGAGUAACACGUGAGUAACCUGCCCUUGACUUUGGGAUAACUUCAGGAAACUGGGGCUAAUACCGGAUAGGAGCUCCUGCUGCAUGGUGGGGGUUGGAAAGUUUCGGCGGUUGGGGAUGGACUCGCGGCUUAUCAGCUUGUUGGUGUGGUAGUGGCUUACCAAGGCUUUGACGGGUAGCCGGCCUGAGAGGGUGACCGGCCACAUUGGGACUGAGAUACGGCCCAGACUCCUACGGGAGGCAGCAGUGGGGAAUAGUGCACAAUGGGCGGAAGCCUGAUGCAGCAACGCCGCGUGCGGGAUGACGGCCUUCGGGUUGUAAACCGCUUUCGCCUGUGACGAAGCGUGAGUGACGGUAAUGGGUAAAGAAGCACCGGCUAACUACGUG